AAUCUUCGGCAAUGGGCGAAAGCCUGACCGAGCGACGCCGCGUGCGGGAUGAAGGCCUUCGGGUUGUAAACCGCUGUCAGAGGGGAGGAAAUCGUAGAGGGUUAUCCCUCUAUGUUGACCUAUCCUCAGAGGAAGUCCGGGCUAAGUUCGUGCCAGCAGCCGCGGUAAGACGAACCGGACAAACGUUAUUCGGAAUCACUGGGCUUAAAGGGUGCGUAGGCGGUCUGAUAAGUAGGAUGUGAAAUCUCCCGGCCCAACCGGGGAACUGCGUUCUAAACUGUCAGGCUUGAGUGAGAUAGGGGUGUGCGGAACUUCUAGUGGAGCGGUGAAAUGUGUUGAUAUUAGAAGGAACACCAGUAGCGAAGGCGGUACACUGGGUCUCAACUGACGCUCAUGCACGAAAGCUAGGGUAGCGAACGGGAUUAGAUACCCCGGUAGUCCUAGCUGUA
rnacentral:rRNA from 1 species